UUAGUUGUACCUUUUCUUUGGAUUUACUUGCACUGAACGCUUUUUUAUAGGCAGUGGCUCGUUUGGGUGUAGAAGUGAUUUCUUUCAGCACGAGAGAAACAUCACGUUUCCCUUCAUUAGCCAGAACAGAAAAGCAACAAAACGGUCAAUAUUUGAGUUUAAAAACCUAUGUAUCUAUCAUCCACUUACAGCAAAUUUGUGUUAUUAAAUCAAGUAUUCUGCGAUAUUGACAAAUAUGUCAAAAACAAAGUUAGUUGUCAUAUACCCGUGAUUAUAAAUAUUUCAAUUUGAAAAUGGCUGCAAAUGAUAAUAGCCGAUACGUUAUAUCUGAAAGGAGCAGCACCGAACAGCACAUGGAUCAGGAGGUGCCAAUGCUAGAGUGGGACCAAAGUAGGUUGCAGCAGGAAAUGUUAAGUGUCCUACAAAGAAAAACCUGGUCUGCAUAUAUUGGGUUACCGAACAACACCCAACAGCAGAUGAUGAUAACAUUUGACAGGGCAUGCAGGAUCAGGAGGUGCCAAUGCCAGAGCUGGACCAAAGCAGGUUGCGACAGGAGAUUUUAAGUUUCCUUCAAAGAAUAACUAGGUCUGCAGACGAUACGC